GGCGUGGGAGGAUUGAGGGAGGGGAGGAGUUGGAGAAAUGGGGGCGGGAAGAGGAGGGAGGGGCAGGGAGAGGGAGGAAAAGGAAGGAGGAAGAACCGGGGAGAAAGGGAGGAACGAGGGAGAAGAGUGGGAGCAGGGAGGAUGAAAAGGAAGAGGAUGAGUGAGGAGGGGAGGAAGGGGAAAUUAUGGCUGAGCAAGUGCAAAGGGGACCCACAGGUGCAUUAGGAAGCCCAUACCCCCAAGAGGCUCUAUGAUGUCUGUAAAUUCUUUGCCCAAUAUUUUAUUUAGUUUUUGUCAGCUAAAAACUUGAUUGGUUUUUCCAACUUUUGUUGAAAGUAGAGCCUUAGAAACCACUGGGCUUCCCAGAUGUUUUACCCAGGCACUUGGGGCCAUUCCCUUUUCCUUUUUCUAGGAAAUUUACCAAAAAACCACUACCCAGGUACAUUUGUGAUGUCUGUUGCUCUUCGUUUGAAGGCAUAUUUGCCAAUACAGUUUUUUAAAAUUAAAAACUGUCUACUGGGUCUGAAUGUUUUUGUCAGACCUUGUACAACUACAGAUUGAAAUCACUAAAUUUAUAGGAAAUGUUCUAAAUAACCCACUUGUUGAAUGCAGACCUCACUGUCAAGCCAGUCAGCCAAAUUACAGUUAACCUUGUCCAAAAAAAAAAAGAUCUGGGAGAAUAUGAACCAUUGAAAAGUAGCACAUUGCUAUGGAUUUUUAGGGUUUGGUUGUGGUCCCCCCCCCCAAAAAAAAAAAAAAAAACUGGCAAUGCAGGAAUGCUCAAAGGUGAAAUGAUUAGAUUAUGAGAGCUGUAACCUGAUCAGUGGGUUAAUCCAAGUGAUAGAGUAAUCAUUUGAAUGGCCUAACCUGGUGUUAACUAGCGCAGGUGGGCAUGGCUAGAGGAAGUGGGUCACUAGGGGAUGUGCCUUGGGGAUUAUAUAUCUUGUCCCUCUGCUUCCUUGUUGCCUGUCCUAAGCUGCUUUCCUUCCCCACACCCUUCUGCCGUGAUGUUCUGUCUCACCUUGGGCCCAGAGCUGUGGAGUUGGCUGACCAUAGACUGAACCUCUGAAACCAUUAGCGCAGAUAAACUUCUCCUUCUAAAUUGUUCUUGUUAGGUAUUUUGGUCACAGAGAGCAAAGCUGACUGUUAGGUUUGGAUGUGAGGUAUCCCCCAAAAGUUCACAUGUUAGACAGUGCAAGAACAACAUUCAGAGGAGAAAUGAUUGGUUGAAAGAGUCUUAACCCAAUCAGUGAUUUAAUCCUCUGAUAGGGAUUAACUGAGUGGUAACUGAAGUAGUAGGGUGUGGCUGGAGGAGGUGGGAAUUGGGGUGUGGCUUGGCGUGUAUAUUUGUGUCUGACCAGUGGAGUCUCUCUCUGCUUUUUGAUCAUCAUGUGAGAUGAUUCCCUCUGUCACGCUCUUCUACCAUGGUGUUCAGCCUCACCUAGAACACUGAGGAAUGGAUCUGGCCUUUUAUGAACGAAGACCUCAGAAAUUGUAAGCCCCCAAGUAAACCUUUCCUCUUUUACAGUUGUUCUGGUUGGGUCCUUUAGUCACAGCAGCGAAAAAGCUGACUAAAACACUAACACAGGUUUGAGUGUGUCCCCUCUAGGAAUCUGUGUUGCAAUGUGACAUUGCUGGGAAGAGAGGCCUAUGAAAGGUGACCAGGCCUGGAGGGCACCUCCCUACUGGGCAGGAUAAGGUACCCUUAUAAGAGGUCUGCAGGGAGUCUGCCCCUUUGCCAUUUUGCCCUCUGCCAUGUGAGGAGAAGUAUCCUCUUGCAAGUGGGACCCUUACCAGACAGGGAGCCUGCUUCUGCCUUGAGCUUGCACUUCUCAGCCCCAGAAGGGGAAGAAAUAAAUUUUAGUUUUUCGUAAAUCACUCAGUCUCAGCUUGGUGUGGUGGUGCAUUUCUGUAAUCCAAAUUACUUGGGAGGCUGAAGAAGGAGGAUCACAAGUUUGAGGCCAACCAGUUUCAACCACUUAAGCCCUGUCUCAAAAUAAAAAGGAUCGGGGAUAUAGCUCAGUGGCGGAGCACCAGUGAGGUCCAUCCCCACGCUUCCCCCCCAUUUUAUUUUAAUAAUGAACAAAUUACAGAGUCAGGAAUUGUAGCACAAAACACUAAGACAAGAUGGUGCAUCUUUUCAGAUCCCCCUCCACUCCUGUCGGUGGAGGGGAGCCUGCUGCCCAGCAGACCACAGCCCCCAUUUGCUGUAGUUACAGGCGAGUGCAGCCAUUGCUGCAGCAUGGGUCAGCGUCUCAGGCAAGGCCUGUCUUCCCAGGCUUUCUGCUUCCAUCCCAGGAAGUAGAGAGGGAGCCCCAGAAGCCAGCCUGCCCCCCUCCAGAGCAUGUCCUCCCAGCCCACCUCCUCUCCUGCUCCACCCUCCUGCUUCUGCACUCCUCCCCAGUUCCUAAAGCCUCACACCAUGUGCACUGCAAGCAGCCACCUGCUUUACCUGCCCUGUGAGGACACCCCACUCCUGGGCCACACUUUCUCAUGCCCUAAGUGUCUGGGCAGGGUUUUGUUUUCGGCACUGGAGCCUAAAGGUCUUGAUGAGACUGAAGCGGCACUGCCACCAGAGGAGCCAGUCCUGCCCAGAGAAACAAUGUGAGCAAAAUGCAGCUGGGUAUUAUGUAACUCAAUACAUCAAAAAUAUCACUUAAACAAGUAGUAUAGAAUGAUGGGUGGACUACUAGGAAGUUGAUGUAGCAAGGCAUGGCGAGCCAGAGGAGAGAAGGAGACCCCCAGAUGUGCCACACUGGGGAUUUGAAUCACAGCGGGGAGUGGGCAGGGAUGGGGCAGCUGCCUGAGCAAGUGACCACAGUGUGCAAGACCUUUGCAGCAACAGGGGCUGUGUCUGGGGCUGCUCCUGCCACACGCCUGCCUCAGCCAGAGAAAGGCUUUGUGAGAGUCACCAUGUUCCAGCAGACUCCAGACAGGAGGUGUUGGCCCUGAGUCCCCACUAAAAUCAAUGAGUUCUUUAAAGAGCAGACCUAGCUGGGCCUUCAAGAGCCAGUUGUGCCAUCAACACAGACUAAACACUUCUCUCUCCACAAUGUUAGAAUUUGCUGAAUGGCAAUAAAUUCAUGGCUGCCAUUUAGGGGCUGCCAUUCACUGAACACCUGCAGGUCACCUGAUAGGCAGGCAGCUGCUAAAUCUUUCAUCCCAUUCUAAUAUGAAUUUCUAAUAUUGAUUCUGCCGGUUAUCGGUGAUGAAUUCAGCUUCCUCACAUGUUGAAGAUUUAUAUUCCCAAAUGAAGGCUUUGUCCUCUGCAACCUUGUUCUAUUAUCUUCAUGGUGUACACUGACAUGUUCCAGAUGCUGCACCAUUUAUUCAGUACUCAUGUUUUCUGUUUCUCUCAUAGAAGCACUCAUCUCCAGAUGGCUUUACCGCUGUUCUUCCCCAACCAGACUUCAAUCCGACCUGACUUCUAAAAGGGAACUGCUUGCCCACACUGCCCCCUUCCAGCUUGAAGAAGCCAGAACAGUCAUUGUCCCUUUUCCUUAGGGUAGUAAGGAGCUCCUAAAAUCGGGUGGGGGUGUAGCCAGAAUUAGACAGGCAGUCAGUAUAGAUGGGUAAAUCGAGUCAGGUCAGAUCACGGAAGCCAAUUUUGAGUGAGUCUGGGUAGUUGGAGACUGUCCUCUGAAGGAUUGAGAUGUUAAUUCCUUCAGAGCCCUUCCUCCACCCUUAUCAGGAACUUCCCCCUGUUCCAAACUGUUGCCAAGGUAACAUGUCCCAGAAGUUGCCCCUCCCUGCAGGAAGCUAUAAGGUUGUUAAUUAAGCUAUAAGGUUGUCCUUGACUGCUCCAUCCUGCCCUUCCCACUCAGCCCACCUGUUUCACACCUUUUGGGCAUCCCACCAGCAUUUCCUAGGCUUACUCACAUACUCAGAAAGGAGAAAGAUAAGGGGAAGAGGGCAGGAGAGGAAAGGAAAUCUAGGACAUAUAAAGAGGGCAGAACACCGGGAGAAGUCUAUGUUACCCCUUUUUAAAUAAACCCUACUUCAUAUUGCUUGCCUAGGCGUGCAUCUCUAAUGUUCAAAUUCACCCCACCCUAACCCCU
rnacentral:lncRNA from 1 species